rnacentral:rRNA from 1 species
GACGAACGCUGGCGGCGUGCUUAACACAUGCAAGUCGAGCGGUAAGGCCCUUCGGGGUACACGAGCGGCGAACGGGUGAGUAACACGUGGGUGACCUGCCCUCCACUCCGGGAUAAGCCUGGGAAACUGGGUCUAAUACCGGAUAGGACCGACUGGUGCAUGCUGGUUGGUGGAAAGUUUUUUCGGUGGGGGAUGGGCCCGCGGUCUAUCAGCUUGUUGGUGGGGUGAUGGCCUACCAAGGCGACGACGGAUAGCCGGCCUGAGAGGGUGAUCGGCCACACGGGGACUGAGACACGGCCCAGACUCCUACGGGAGGCAGCAGUGGGGAAUCUUGCGCAAUGGGCGGAAGCCUGACGCAGCAACGCCGCGUGAGGGAUGACGGCCUUCGGGUUGUAAACCUCUUUCGCGAUCGACGAAGGUCAUGCUUUUUGCAUGGCUGACGGUAGGUCGAGAAGAAGCACCGGCCAACUACGUGCCAGCCGCCGCAGUAACAC